rnacentral:rRNA from 1 species
UAGCCAGACUCCUACGGGAGGCAGCAGUGGGGAAUAUUGCACAAUGGGGGAAACCCUGAUGCAGCGACGCCGCGUGAGCGAAGAAGUAUUUCGGUAUGUAAAGCUCUAUCAGCAGGGAAGAAAAUGACGGUACCUGACUAAGAAGCUCCGGCUAAAUACGUGCCAGCAGCCGCGGUAAUACGUAUGGAGCAAGCGUUAUCCGGAUUUACUGGGUGUAAAGGGAGCGUAGGCGGUAAGGCAAGUCUGAUGUGAAAGGCCAGGGCUCAACCCUGGGACUGCAUUGGAAACUGUUUAACUGGAGUGUCGGAGAGGCAAGUGGAAUUCCUAGUGUAGCGGUGAAAUGCGUAGAUAUUAGGAGGAACACCAGUGGCGAAGGCGGCUUACUGGACUGUAACUGACGUUGAGGCUCGAAAGCGUGGGGAGCAAACAGGAUUAGAUACCCCAGUAGU